rnacentral:lncRNA from 1 species
GAUUAAUGUCAUGUAUGUCUACUUUAAUACUCAGGGACCGUGUAAAUUUUGAGAAAAUAACGAUAACCAAACAUUAUAAGUAUCGAUCUACUGUUCCCACUUCCAUCAAAUACAUGUAGUGAAAAAUAAAAAGAAACUGGCCGUAAAUAAAUUGGCAAUAUAAAAUAGAGAAAAUGUCCCCCACACCUUUCCCCCCAACAAAAAAAAAAAAGAAGAAGAAUAUCGAAUAUUGAUUACAGGAGCUACAAAGAGGAAUAUAAUAAGAGAAG